GACGAACGCUGGCGGCGUGCCUAAUACAUGCAAGUUGAGCGCUGAAGGCUGGUUCUUGUACCAACUGGAUGAGCAGCGAACGGGUGAGUAACGCGUGGGGAAUCUGCCUUUGAGCGGGGGACAACAUUUGGAAACGAAUGCUAAUACCGCAUAACAACUUUAAACACAAGUUUUAAGUUUGAAAGAUGCAAUUGCAUCACUCAAAGAUGAUCCUUAGUUGUAUUAGCUAGUUGGUGAGGUAAAGGCCCACCAAGGCGAUGAUACAUAGCCGAACUGAGAGGAUGAGCGGCCACACUGGGAAGGAGACACGGCCCAAACGGCUUCGGGAGGGAGCAGUAGGGAAACUUCAGCAAGGGACGAGAGACAGAGCGAGCAAGGCGGGGGGAGUGAGGAAUGUUGUCGGAUCGGAAAACUCGGUUGGUAGAGAAGAACGUUGGUGAGAGUGGAACGCUCAUCAAGUGACGGUAACGACCCAGAAAGGGACGGCUAACUACGUG
rnacentral:rRNA from 1 species